UCGCAUGGACUACAUUUAUCUUGUUGGC
rnacentral:sRNA from 1 species